UGUCAUCAUAUAAUACAUUCAUAGUACACUAUAUAGCCCACUGUACGUACAAUAUGAUCUUAUUCCACUCUUAAAUAACAGGGUGCACCACUUCAGCUUCAAGGGAAUGACUGUGGAAUAUUCAUGUUGAUGGUAAGUGUUCAUAAUUGCUAUACCAUUGUUUCUGAUCUUAUAUUAACAAAUGCAGUGUUUAGCACACACAGAGUUUUGAUUUUGUAUUUUAGUACGCCAUGUAUGUGACCCUUGGAAAGCCCUUCGAUUUUUCGGCAUUAGACAUGCCUGAAUCAGGAGGUGGUGGUGCCAUCAGUUACUACAGGCAUUUCCUCUGGCAAGCCAACAGUCAGUCACCAAACCAAUGAUCCAACUGGAUCUAAACGUUAUUGAGGUCACCCCAGCUGUGCCAGACGUCAUGGAGAUCACCUCAGCUAUGAGAAUCCAUAAAGGACUCUGCUGUGAUGAAACAGAUUCUGCUCAAUGUGACUGGGUGGAGGAGUACCGAACCCACUUUGCUGGGAAAGUUCACCUUCCACAGGUCACAAGAAUGAACGAGGAUGAUCAUUGACCAAUAACUGUCUGUCUGUCUGAAAAAAAAAAUAUAUAUAUAUAUGUGACCAUGGACCAGUCUUAUGGGUCAAUUUUUCGAAAUUGAGAUUUUUACAUAAAGCUGAAUAAAUAAGCUUUCUAUAGAUAUAUGAGUUGUUAGAAUAGGACAAUAUCUGGCUCAGAUACAACCGUUUAAAACUCAGGAAUCUGAGAGCGCAAAAAAAUAAAAAUAUUGAGAAAAUCGCCUUUGAAGUUGUUAAUCAGGGGCACUGUGGCAGACCAUCCACUCACAAAAAUAAAGUUUUUAUAUAUUUAAGGUAGGAAAUUUACAAAAUAUCUUCAUGGAACAUGAUCUUUACUUAAUAUCCUAAUGAUUUUUGACAUAAAAGAAAAAUCGAUAAUUUUGACCCACACAAUGUAUUUUUGUCUUUUACUAAAAAUGUUCCCCUGCUACUUAAGACUGGUUUUGUGAUCCAGGGUCACAUAUAUCUUGUUGUUCAUUCUCUCCUUUGCUUACUCCAGCUUUAAUGGCCUUGUAAACUAAUGGUACUGUUUAGCGUGUUGACAAAAUGUUUAUACUGUAUGCUCUCCUACUUGUAAGUCGCUUUGGAUAAAAGUGUCUGCCAAAUGAAUAAAUGCAAAUGUAAAUGUAAAUUAUUCAUUGUUGGCUAUAACAAUGCGGGAGCUAUUUAUUGACACCAUUUUCUAUGACGUAAUUUUUCAUGCAGGACGUAUAUGAUAAAAUAAAUAUUUGUGUGUCUUGCCUGCACAAUCCUGAACUGGUGGUGUAGAUCUGGGUUAAUUCUGUAAAUGGUUUUGUAUUGUCAUGGAGUUUUAGGUGUAUUAAAAUGUCUUGUUUUUGACCAAUUAA